rnacentral:lncRNA from 1 species
CAAGUGCGGUGGGGCGGCAAUAGUGACCACGGAAAUAAUCAGAAUUGCUUCUAAUUCAGCUCCUACUAUAUUCCCGUCAUCCCUGAGCCUCACAAUCAUCCUCCAAGGAUAUUCGCUUUGGCAGAUGAUUAGAAUACGUGCUGACUUGAUAGCCGCAACUGUCCUGAUACGAAAGUACGCCGGCCUGGCUGGGCGUGGUGGCUCACGCCUGUAAUCCGAGGAUUUUGGGAGGCCGAGGCGGGCGGAUCACUUGAUGUCAGGAGUUUGAGACCAGCAUGUCCAACAUGGUGAAACCCCGUCUGUACUAAAAAUACAAUAAUUAGCCGAGCAUGAUGGCAUGUGCCUGUAAUCCCAGCUAUUUGGGAGGCUGAGGCAAGAGAAUCGCUUGAACCUGGAAGGCAGAGGUUGCAGUUACUUUCCCGACAUUGCACCACUGCACUCCAGCCUUGGCGACAAGAGCGAAAUUUUGUCUCAAAAAAGAAAGAAAGAAAGCACUCAGGCCUGUCCGAGGACCACAGCAGUGGACAUGGAGGGAGGAGGCUGGGGGUAGUUGAAUUGGUGUGAUAUGUCACUGAGUAAACAAAGGAAGGGACAGAAAGAGAACUGCAAAGUGUCAAAAGCCUGGACAACAGAGAGAAAGCAUCCUUGUCAUAUCAUUUAAAGCACCUGUUGGGCCAAAUAGGGAGCACCUUUCAGAAUCCAUGUGCACAAGAUCUCAGCAAUUCUACGUCCAAGAAUGUAACCUACAUCCAAGAAUGUACUGGAAUUUAAUUCCACAUCCAAGAAUCCCCAUAGGUAGCAAAGAUGUAUAUUUAAGGGUAUUCUCUCAGCUUUGUUUUUAUGUUAGGAGAUUGGGAACAACCUAAAUGCCCAUCAG